CAAAUGAAUUGACGGGGACCCGCACAAGCAGAAGAGCGUCGUUGGUUUAAUUCGACGGCAAUCGAAGAACCUUACCAGGGUUUGAAAUGUAUCUGCAUGCCCUAUGAAAAUAGGGAGGCCUUCGAGGGUGAUACACAGGUGCUGCAUGGCCGCCGUCAGCUCGUGUCGUGAGAUGUAGGGUUAAGUCCCGAAACGAGCGCAACCCUAUUCUAUGUUACAAGUGUCUUAGAAAACCGCCUCGGUAAAACGAGGAGGAAGGUGGGGAUGACGUCUGGUCCGCAUAGCCCUUAUGUCCUGGGCUACACACGCGCUACAAUGGCCGAUACAGUAGGAAGCCAAAUCGUAAGAUGGAGCUAAUCCUUAAAGUCGGUCUCAGUUCGGAUUGAGGUCUGAAAUUCGACCUCAUGAAGUUGGAUUUGCUAGUAAUCGUAGAUCAGCAAUGCUACGGUGAAUACGUUCUCGGGUCUU
rnacentral:rRNA from 1 species